GACAGAGGGGGCAAGCGUUGCUCGGAAUCACUGGGCGUAAAGGGCGCGUAGGCGGGAUGGCAAGUCAGUCGUGAAAUCCCUCGGCUUAACCGGGGAACUGCGUCUGAUACUGGAUGGCUUGAGUUUGGGAGAGGGAUGCGGAAUUCCAGGUGUAGCGGUGAAAUGCGUAGAUAUCUGGAGGAACACCGGUGGCGAAGGCGGCAUCCUGGACCAACACUGACGCUGAGGAGCGAAAGCCAGGGGAGCAAACGGG
rnacentral:rRNA from 1 species